rnacentral:rRNA from 1 species
UACGUAGGGGGCGAGCGUUGUCCGGAUUUAUUGGGCGUAAAGAGCGUGUAGGCGGUUCGGUAAGUCUGUCGUGAAAUCCUGAGGCUCAACCUCGGGCGUGCGAUGGAUACUGCCGGGCUAGAGGGUGGUAGAGGCGAGUGGAAUUCCCGGUGUAGCGGUGAAAUGCGCAGAUAUCGGGAGGAACACCUGCGGCGAAGGCGGGUUGCUGGGCUGACACUGACGCUGAUGCGCGAAAGCUAGGGGAGCGAACGGG